rnacentral:lncRNA from 1 species
GUUGAACUUCCCUUUCCGCCACACAGGUACUCUAUUCCCUUAUAUGUUAUCAAUCCGCAGUGUAUGAUAUUAUUGCUUCAUUUGCCAACAGGUUCCCAGCGGUACGCACAUUAGCAGCUAUGAACACUCUAACAGUGGUAAUCCUGCUCGCCGCGCACAUCGUACUCGUGACAUCCCAAAUUCAGUGCCCCUUCAGAUACGGCAAUCGACGCUGCACGUUUCUCGGUCAAACGAUUCCGGCCGGACAGAGCCGCAGUUUUCAUAAUCCAUGCGUGAGCGUUUAUUGCCACAAUGAAGGAAACCAUGUUACGCUCUCAGGGUGCUCAGUUGCCGGUGGCACGAACCAACACCCUCCAGGGGCACCCGGUGGACAAACCGGAGUAUGGCCUUUCUGCUGUGCUGCUUGCUCCGCUUCUCGGCAACAAGGAUAAAAAUACUCUAUAAAAGAUCCAGUCUCCAUUUAAAAUAAAGAUGUAUUUCCGAAAUGGUUAUUAUUGGAGGAGGGCCAAUCGUAGGUAGCGCAUGCUCUAUGCGUGUUAAAGAGGGUUUCAAGCUAUCGCAUUUUCAUGCAUAAUAAAGGAAGAUCUGUUCAGGG